UACCAGCACCCCGAGUGGUCGGGACGUUUAUUGGGCCUAAAGCAUCCGUAGCCGGUUCUACAAGUCUUCCGUUAAAUCCACCUGCUUAACAGAUGGGCUGCGGAAGAUACUAUAGAGCUAGGAGGCGGGAGAGGCAAGCGGUACUUUAUGGGUAGGGGUAAAAUCCGCUGAUCCAUAGAAGACCACCAGUGGCGAAGGCGGCUUGCCAGAACGCGCUCGACGGUGAGGGAUGAAAGCUGGGGGAGCAAACCGG
rnacentral:rRNA from 1 species